rnacentral:tRNA from 1 species
GCCUGUGUGGCUCAGUGGUUGAGCAUCAACCAUGCACCAAGAGAUUGCUGGUUCAAUUCCAGUCAGGGCA